GGCGUGGCUCAACGGUAGAGCAGCUGAUUUGUAAUCAGCAGGUUGGGGGUUCGAUUCCCUUCGCC
rnacentral:tRNA from 1 species